UACGUAGGGUGCAAGCGUUGUCCGGAUUUAUUGGGCGUAAAGAGCUCGUAGGCGGCUUGUCGCGUCGAAUGUGAAAACUCGGGGCUCAACUCCGAGCUUGCAUUCGAUACGGGCAGGCUAGAGUUCGGUAGGGGAGACUGGAAUUCCUGGUGUAGCGGUGAAAUGCGCAGAUAUCAGGAGGAACACCGAUGGCGAAGGCAGGUCUCUGGGCCGAUACUGACGCUGAGGAGCGAAAGCGUGGGGAGCGAACAGG
rnacentral:rRNA from 1 species